rnacentral:rRNA from 1 species
GACGAACGCUGGCGGCGUGCUUAACACAUGCAAGUCGAACGGAAAGGCCCUGCUUGCAGGGUGCUCGAGUGGCGAACGGGUGAGUAACACGUGGGUGAUCUGCCCCUUACUUUGGGAUAAGCCUGGGAAACUGGGUCUAAUACUGGAUAGGACCAUGCUGUAGGUGGUGUGGUGGAAAGAUUAGUUUCGGUAAGGGAUGAGCUCGCGGCCUAUCAGCUUGUUGGUGGGGUAAUGGCCUACCAAGGCGUCGACGGGUAGCCGGCCUGAGGGGGUGGACGGCCACAUUGGGACUGCGAUACGGCCCAGACUCCUACGGGGGGCAGCAGUGGGGAAUAUUGCACAAUGAGCGCAAGCCUGAUGCAGCGACGCCGCGUGGGGGAUGACGGCCUUCGGGUUGUAAACUCCUUUCAGCCAUGACGAAGCCCUUGUGGUGACGGUAGUGGUAGAAGAAGCACCGGCUAACUACGUG